CAGAAAUCGCAACCACACACUGACCAGACUUACUACUGGUAAUGGUCAGUUAUGCCUGUCUUUCAUAUUUCACAAACAGUUGAGCUUAUCUCAGAUACGAGACACUGAUAUCCCUGGCACAUGCACAUUGCUCUACAUAGAGAUCAGCCGGCCCUAAGUCAGAUUUGUUGUCAGUGCGCAAGCGCAUUUCCCAAGCGUGCAUUGCGAACAAAGGAAGACUGAGGAACCGGACGCAUACUCGAUGACUCGCCACAUCGGACUCAGACGGGGAGUACGUCACACAGAGGGACUGUCAGACAAGCUGGCUAAGGGACACAAGAUACCAACAAACGUCAAGUGACCGCUCACACUUCCUAUGAUCACCACGCCGGACCCCGGAGUGCCUGGUACCAUUUCCAGCUCAAUGUAAUGAAGAGAGUCCAAAGAAAGAAGUUCCAGCUCAGCUCGUGCAUUAAAACCAGGUAUCUUUAUUGAAACAAGCCAAACAGCAACAUAUACAUCACGAACAGUAGUACCGAGGCGUUUCGGGCCUCCUGGAUACAAGAUAAGUGUGAACUAUGGCACAAAAGGUUGCAGAUGGAAUGUUUUACACUGGCAGGAAGCUAGUCCACCAAUAGCAUAGUCAGGGCAUGUUGGCACAUGUAGGUAGUGGCCCAGGAGUCCAGUGUUUAUUUUGUUCCUGAUUUUAUUUAUUUUGUUGUACCUGCAGCCUUGAGUGAAAUAAACGUGGUGAGGAACCAGACCUUGCAUGAGGCUGCUGUGGUGUGUUGAC